CCCCGCAAGGGGAGUGGCAGACGGGUGAGUAACGCGUGGGAACAUACCCUUUCCUGCGGAAUAGCUCCGGGAAACUGGAAUUAAUACCGCAUACGCCCUACGGGGGAAAGAUUUAUCGGGGAAGGAUUGGCCCGCGUUGGAUUAGCUAGUUGGUGGGGUAAAGGCCUACCAAGGCGACGAUCCAUAGCUGGUCUGAGAGGAUGAUCAGCCACAUUGGGACUGAGACACGGCCCAAACUCCUACGGGAGGCAGCAGUGGGGAAUAUUGGACAAUGGGCGCAAGCCUGAUCCAGCCAUGCCGCGUGAGUGAUGAAGGCCUUAGGGUUGUAAAGCUCUUUCACCGAUGAAGAUAAUGACGGUAGUCGGAGAAGAAGCCCCGGCUAACUUCGUGCCAGCAGCCGCGGUAAUACGAAGGGGGCUAGCGUUGUUCGGAAUUACUGGGCGUAAAGCGCACGUAGGCGGAUAUUUAAGUCAGGGGUGAAAUCCCGCAGCUCAACUGCGGAACUGCCUUUGAUACUGGGUAUCUUGAGUAUGGAAGAGGUAAGUGGAAUUCCGAGUGUAGAGGUGAAAUUCGUAGAUAUUCGGAGGAACACCAGUGGCGAAGGCGGCUUACUGGUCCAUUA
rnacentral:rRNA from 1 species